CACAUACCCCAACCCUAAAAUACUUCCCCACCCAAUUCUGUCACACUCACUCCGCCACACUUAUUCUGUCACAUUAAUCCCCCUAACAGUGCACACACACACACACACACAGUAACUUCCCACAAGCAAAGAACAGCCUCACCAUAAACAUAACACACAUCGACUACAGGUGAUUGCAGCCCUUGUUUCGUGUGUGUGUGUGUCUCUAUCUCAGAGGAUUAUAGAAUAUGUGGGGGAAAUAGACUAUGUUAC